GAUGAACGCUGGCGGUAUGCCUAACACAUGCAAGUCGUACGAGAGUUUUUAACUCUAGUGGCGGACGGGUGAGUAACACGUGAGAAUUUGCCUUUAGGAGGGGGAUAACAAUUGGAAACGAAUGCUAAUACCCCAUAUGCUUUUGAGUGAAAUGGAUUUUAUCCGCCUAGAGAGAAGCUCGCGGCUGAUUAGCUUGUUGGUAAGGUAAGAGCUUACCAAGGCGACGAUCAGUAUCUGGUUUGAGAGGACGAUCAGACACACUGGAACUGAGACACGGUCCAGACUCCUACGGGAGGCAGCAGUGGGGAAUUUUCCGCAAUGGGCGAAAGCCUGACGGAGCAAUACCGCGUGAGGGAAGAAUGCCUAUGGGUUGUAAACCUCUUUUACCAGGGAUGAAUAAAAUGACGUGUACCUGAAGAAUAAGCAUCGGCUAACUCCGUG
rnacentral:rRNA from 1 species